rnacentral:rRNA from 1 species
AGAGUUUGAUCAUGGCUCAGAUUGAACGCUGGCGGCAGGCCUAACACAUGCAAGUCGAACGGUAACAGGAAGCAGCUUGCUGCUUCGCUGACGAGUGGCGGACGGGUGAGUAAUGUCUGGGAAACUGCCUGAUGGAGGGGGAUAACUACUGGAAACGGUAGCUAAUACCGCAUAACGUCGCAAGACCAAAAGAGGGGGACCUUCGGGCCUCUUGCCAUCAGAUGUGCCCAGAUGGGAUUAGCUUGUUGGUGGGGUAACGGCUCACCAAGGCGACGAUCCCUAGCUGGUCUGAGAGGAUGACCAGCCACACUGGAACUGAGACACGGUCCAGACUCCUACGGGAGGCAGCAGUGGGGAAUAUUGCACAAUGGGCGCAAGCCUGAUGCAGCCAUGCCGCGUGUAUGAAGAAGGCCUUCGGGUUGUAAAGUACUUUCAGCGGGGAGGAAGGUGCUGUGGUUAAUAACCGCAGCAAUUGACGUUACCCGCAGAAGAAGCACCGGCUAACUCCGUGCCAGCAGCCGCGGUAAUACGGAGGGUGCAAGCGUUAAUCGGAAUUACUGGGCGUAAAGCGCACGCAGGCGGUCUGUUAAGUCAGAUGUGAAAUCCCCGGGCUCAACCUGGGAACUGCAUCUGAUACUGGCAGGCUUGAGUCUCGUAGAGGGGGGUAGAAUUCCAGGUGUAGCGGUGAAAUGCGUAGAGAUCUGGAGGAAUACCGGUGGCGAAGGCGGCCCCCUGGACGAAGACUGACGCUCAGGUGCGAAAGCGUGGGGAGCAAACAGGAUUAGAUACCCUGGUAGUCCACGCCGUAAACGAUGUCGACUUGGAGGUUGUGCCCUUGAGGCGUGGCUUCCGGAGCUAACGCGUUAAGUCGACCGCCUGGGGAGUACGGCCGCAAGGUUAAAACUCAAAUGAAUUGACGGGGGCCCGCACAAGCGGUGGAGCAUGUGGUUUAAUUCGAUGCAACGCGAAGAACCUUACCUGGUCUUGACAUCCACGGAAGUUUUCAGAGAUGAGAAUGUGCCUUCGGGAACCGUGAGACAGGUGCUGCAUGGCUGUCGUCAGCUCGUGUUGUGAAAUGUUGGGUUAAGUCCCGCAACGAGCGCAACCCUUAUCCUUUGUUGCCAGCGGUCCGGCCGGGAACUCAAAGGAGACUGCCAGUGAUAAACUGGAGGAAGGUGGGGAUGACGUCAAGUCAUCAUGGCCCUUACGACCAGGGCUACACACGUGCUACAAUGGCAUAUACAAAGAGAAGCGACCUCGCGAGAGCAAGCGGACCUCAUAAAGUAUGUCGUAGUCCGGAUUGGAGUCUGCAACUCGACUCCAUGAAGUCGGAAUCGCUAGUAAUCGUGGAUCAGAAUGCCACGGUGAAUACGUUCCCGGGCCUUGUACACACCGCCCGUCACACCAUGGGAGUGGGUUGCAAAAGAAGUAGGUAGCUUAACCUUCGGGAGGGCGCUUACCACUUUGUGAUUCAUGACUGGGGUGAAGUCGUAACAAGGUAACCGUAGGGGAACCUGCGGUUGGAUCACCU